rnacentral:rRNA from 1 species
GAGUUUGAUCCUGGCUCAGGAUGAACGCUGGCGGCGUGCUUAACACAUGCAAGUCGAACGAACCUUCGGGUUAGUGGCGGACGGGUGAGUAACGCGUGAGAAUCUGCCCUCAGGAGGGGGAUAACGGUUGGAAACGACCGCUAAUACCCCAUAUGCCGAGAGGUGAAAUGAAUUUCGCCUGAGGAUGAGCUCGCGUCUGAUUAGCUAGUUGGUGUGGUAAAGGCUCACCAAGGCUUCGAUCAGUAGCUGGUCUGAGAGGAUGAUCAGCCACACUGGGACUGAGACACGGCCCAGACUCCUACGGGAGGCAGCAGUGGGGAAUUUUCCGCAAUGGGCGCAAGCCUGACGGAGCAACGCCGCGUGAGGGAUGAAGGCCUCUGGGCUGUAAACCUCUUUUAUCAAGGAAGAAGAUCUGACGGUACUUGAUGAAUAAGCCACGGCUAAUUCCGUGCCAGCAGCCGCGGUAAUACGGGAGUGGCAAGCGUUAUCCGGAAUUAUUGGGCGUAAAGCGUCCGCAGGCGGUCUUGUAAGUCUGUCGUUAAAACGUGGAGCUUAACUCCAUUUCGGCGGUGGAAACUACAAGACUAGAGUGUGGUAGGGGCAGAGGGAAUUCCCGGUGUAGCGGUGAAAUGCGUAGAUAUCGGGAAGAACACCAGUGGCGAAGGCGCUCUGCUGGGCCAUAACUGACGCUCAUGGACGAAAGCCAGGGGAGCGAAAGGGAUUAGAUACCCCUGUAGUCCUGGCCGUAAACGAUGAACACUAGGUGUCGGGGGAAUCGACCCCCUCGGUGUCGUAGCCAACGCGUUAAGUGUUCCGCCUGGGGAGUACGCACGCAAGUGUGAAGCUCAAAGGAAUUGACGGGGGCCCGCACAAGCGGUGGAGUAUGUGGUUUAAUUCGAUGCAACGCGAAGAACCUUACCAGGGUUUGACAUCCUGCGAAUCCCUUGGAAACGAGGGAGUGCCUUCGGGAGCGCAGUGACAGGUGGUGCAUGGCUAUCGUCAGCUCGUGUCGUGAGAUGUUGGGUUAAGUCCCGCAACGAGCGCAACCCAA